rnacentral:rRNA from 1 species
AUCUACGGCCAUACCACCCUGAACGUGCCCGAGCUCAUCUGAUCUCGGAAGCUCAGCAGGGUUGGGCCCGUUUAGUAAUUGGAUGGGAGACUGCCUGGAAAUACUGGGCGCUGUAGGCU